GUGCCAGCAGCCGCGGUAACACGUAGGAUCCGAGCGUUAUCCGAAUUUACUGGGCGUAAAGCGCGUGCAGGCGGUUCGGUAAGUUGGAUGUGAAAUCUCCUGGCUCAACUGGGAGAGGACGUUCAAUACUGUCGGACUAGAGGAUGGUAGAGGGAGGUGGAAUUCCCGGUGUAGUGGUGAAAUGCGUAGAUAUCGGGAGGAACACCAGUGGCGAAGGCGGCCUCCUGGGCCAUUCCUGACGCUCAGACGCGAAGGCUAGGGUAGCGAACGGGAUUAGAAACCCCCGUAGUCC
rnacentral:rRNA from 1 species